GAACAGUAUCUCUCAGGUAAAAAUAAGUUGCUAAGAUUCACACCAAAAUGAUGCAAAUCCUUCAUUUGCAAAUAGAUCCUCAAUUGGGAGCCAUGUGGGAAGAGGACUGAAUUGGAAAUCAGAUUCAGGGUCCUGCCCAGCUUUCUUCCAGAUGAUCCCAAUCAGCCAUCUGGUCUCAGAGGAAUACAUGGCUUCCUUUUGACUUCUUUGCAUUUUCCCAGUACCUUUGAUUUUGGAAAUAGUAUAAGAAUGAUGGCUGCAUGUUUCAGUGUUGGAAAUUCAUGGUAUGUCUCAGAAGCAAGGAAUCACAGGAUAUCUACUUUUCAGUGGUGGGUUGACCGGAAGGCUGAGGGCAGAAUCGUCUGAAGGGCACUCACGAGUCCGGUGGCUGACGCUGACUGUCGUCCGGGACCGACGUGGGGCUGUGGCUGGAAAACCUCCAUGUGGCCCUUCCAUACGGCUGCUCAUCUCCCCCGCAGUAUGGUGGCCAGGUUCCGAAGGGAAAAAAAGGAGAAAUGAACUCUAUCCCUUGAUGGGCAAGUAGCAAGUUCUACAAGAGCACAUGGGACUGGAAAUACUAAUGUGGCCAUUUUUGGAAAAUACAACCUGGCCCAGUAAGUCCUGUCUUUACUGACGUGAUCUGUACUACACAGCUGCAGAGCAGAGAUGCAGAACAGCCCAGGGCUGCUUGGCUGCCCAGCUGAAUAGUCCUUGGUUCCCACUGUGGCAUGCCCGCAAGAAAACAUAUUAACACUGGACUAAUCACCAGGCCCCUCUAGCUGGAACUCCUGAAAUAAAGGAACAGCUAUUAACAAUUAAUUAUGGUUAGAGGAUAUGAACGGGGCUUGCCUCAUAAAAGUGGAAUUUUUUGUGUGUAGAGCCACAUAGGAUACAAAAAUAUCUACAGAUAGAGGAAACAGAAGAAACAAAGGCACAAAUGCUUGAAGCUGUCUGGCACACUUCAGGAUGCCCCCACCACUCCUUGAGAAAAGUAACCUCAUCAAUCUCAUUCAACUUGUAUCAUUAGUACCUGGAUCUACAAACAAACAAACAAAAUCUCAAUGCCUAUUUGUUGAAUGGAUGAAUAGAUGGAUGAAAGGCAUCUUAGAGGUCAGCUAGUCCAGCAUCUUCACUUUUAGAGGUAAGAAACCAGAGAGAAAAGCAACUUGCCAAAGGUGCUUAUAGUUAUCUUGCUAUUUGGCUUACUUUUUAAAAUUUGUUCAUUGUUUUAGUGACCUCAGCCACAACCCAAAUCAACUAUCUUUAAUUACACUCUUGGCUCUACCAAUUUCAUCUGUUUAUCAUCUCACCCUAGGGUCAUAUCUUAUUAGCAUUAUCCCACCUGAGGGUGCUUUGGACAGGAGUCAACUAUAUGUUAUAUUGUCAGCUGCCAUUCACACAGGUCAUAAUUUCCUGGGGCAGUCAUAAGCUUUGUUUAUAAACUUGGAGAACUGACUUUUUAGAUGUUUUCUCCUGCUGAUCCACUAAAAUCCCACCUUCUUACCAAACUAAAUACAUGAUAGUUUCUGUGUAUAGGGUAGAAUUAUAAAUCUGUCAUGUUUACAGGGUAAUUAUGGUUUGGUAGAAAGAGCUUUGCUUUGGGAAACCUGGAUUUUGUCCAUUUCUAUUACUCAGAAGUUGUCUGAGUUUAAGCAAGCCCUUAAUACUCUAAGCUUCAAUCUCAUAGCCUGUCCAGCUUUGCCGUGAGCAGGGAAACAACAAAAAUGACAACAAAACCCAAACAACCAACAGCCAACUCUCUCACUUCCUCUCUCUCUUCCCUUAUUUGGAAUAAUAAAUAUGAACAUUCACUUUAUAAGGAUUAAUUGAAUUCAUUAAUAAUCCAGUUAGUUGGAUUGAAUCAACUCAUGAACGUGAAAACAUUUUGCUAAGUGUAAAAUGCAAUACAGCCACAAGGGAUUCAGUGUCAGGAACUGCUUAUGUUAAUCAGUUUCUAAUGUUUUAAAAAUACAGCCCUCAGUAAUUGUGAUUUUUGUUAAAUCUCUGUUUGUUACAUGUCAGACUUUCAAAACAGCAGUCUUCUUAUCCAAUAUACUUUUGAAUACUUUUAAUCACUUUUUAAUAUAAAAGUAUUAUGUUCACUGUAGCUAAUCCCAAUGGUCUAAAAUGAAAAUGGAAAGUGCUCCUCUUUCACUUCAAGCCCCACAAGUAUAAGCCCCAGACAUAAGCAGUUAGCAUUAGCUUAUUAUUUUUAGUUACUACACUACUCAUAAUAGCUCAUAUAUAACAUAAUAGCUCACAUAAUUAGUUUAGUAUUAUUAUGUGAAUCCAAGAUUGUUAUAAGCACUUUUCAUAGGAGUUCAUUUUGAUGCUCACGAUGACUCUACUGCUUACGUAUUACUGAUACCCUCAUUUUAUAUGUGAACAAACUGAGGCACAGAGUUGGGAAGCUAAUGGCCCAGUGUCAUGCAGGCGUUUGAGCUCAGGCAGACUGGCUCCAAAGUUCAUGCUCCCAGUCACUAUGAAGAGUAUAUCUCAGAAACCUUCUAUUUGUGUAUAUACAGAUCUGUAUAAUUUGAGUACUUACAGAACACUCCGUUGUAUGAUAUAGCUUAUCAACUCCUAUCUUACGAGAACUUUUAUUCUCUUCCAGAUUUUUUCAUUACUAGAAAUAAACUGCAAAAAAUUAAACCAUCAUGGGCAACCUAGUACUUUUGUGUGAGUGGGUGUCUAUGGCAUAUGCAGCUGAAACAAAGGAGGUAUACACUAACCUUUUUUGAGCAACACCACCACAUUGCCUUGCAUAAUGAACACUUAUUUUCACCUGGAGUCUACCAAUCACCAGAAUCACUGAGAGAACCAGUUAUUUUUAUGUGCUUCUGUUCUCUCCUCUGUGUUUUGCAUCUGAUUGCUCUGCUGUUUGACAAGGAAUUUUGCCACACGGUAGGCGCAGCAUCUGAGGAAAGCCGCUGUUCCUGUGGGGUGACGUCGCUGCUUCUGGGCAUAGGGUGAGGAGGCAUCUGGUGACCUCUCUGCUUGUGCUGCCUGGUACCCUGAGGCUGUGGGGAAAUGACUGUGCGAUCGUUCACCUUGGCUCAGCCUGAGAGCUACUGUGACAGAUUUAUUGGCUCUGAAACAUUUAUCCAAGCAGAACCUCUAAACCAAUAUACAUUUUCAGUCACACACACUCUAGGGAGAGGGGGAGGAGAAGUCUAAGGAGUGGAGCUCUGCAGAGGUGUAAGUCCACCCCUCACUUCACUCUUGCAAAUUUGAGAAAUGAAGUGCAUCAUUUCUUCCAACUUCAGGUGUGUGUCUUUUUUUUAACCAGUUUUUCUCAGCCAGUUGGUACAGAAAAAAAGUACAUUAAUAAAAGGAAAUUAAUGAGGUCACUCAA